rnacentral:tRNA from 1 species
GCACCCGUGGUGAAAUGGAUAUCAUUACUGACUUCGGAUCAGUCGUUGGGGGUUCGAGUCCCUCCGGGUGCACCA